GACGAACGCUGGCGGCGUGCUUAACACAUGCAAGUCGAACGGAAAGGCCCUGCUUGCAGGGUACUCGAGUGGCGAACGGGUGAGUAACACGUGGGUGAUCUGCCCUGCACUUCGGGAUAAGCCUGGGAAACUGGGUCUAAUACCGGAUAGGAGCCAUUUUUAGUGUGAUGGUUGGAAAGUUUUUUCGGUGUAGGAUGAGCUCGCGGCCUAUCAGCUUGUUGGUGGGGUAAUGGCCUACCAAGGCGGCGACGGGUAGCCGGCCUGAGAGGGUGGACGGCCACAUUGGGACUGAGAUACGGCCCAGACUCCUACGGGAGGCAGCAGUGGGGAAUAUUGCACAAUGGGCGCAAGCCUGAUGCAGCGACGCCGCGUGGGGGAUGACGGCCUUCGGGUUGUAAACUCCUUUCGCUAGGGACGAAGCUUUUUGUGACGGUACCUAGAGGAGAAGCACCGGCUAACUACGUG
rnacentral:rRNA from 1 species